rnacentral:precursor_RNA from 7 species
UUCCACAGCCAGACCUGUGCAGGCUUGGGCUGAUGGGGGUGUAGUGCAGCAGCUAUUUAUCAUGCUUCACUUACACUGCUCACUGGUCUAAGCUGCACCACCCGGGAAAUAUCUUGG